AGUAAAGUGCAUUAGAAAGUAUUCAAAUAAUUGUUAAUUAAUCGAAGAAAAUUUGUAUUGUUGUCUAAAAGCACGAAGUGUAUGUUCAGUGCAUCGUUUUCUUCGAAAUCCCCCGUUAGAUUGGUACAUUGUUUUCUAUCAAAGUUUUCUUUAUUAAAUGUUGUUUAUAUGACAUUCCGAACGUUGCGCAUAUGUAUAAAGAGAAUAAUAUUCGUAAUAAAUAGAAUUUCCUUUUUUUUUCGAAAAGUCAUAUAAAUAACUUUCAAUAAAAUAACUUUCACAGAAGACAACGAGCCAGUCUAACGGUGGAUUUCGAGAAGAACGGUACGUAGAUCUUACACUUUUUUGCUUUUAGACAACAAUAAACAUUUACUUCGAUUAAUAAAUAACCAUUGUACUCUAAUGUACUUUAUUUAUAUUUAGAACUGUCUAAAUAUUGUUUAUACAUUUAUACUUUGUAUUAUCCUUAUUUGAAUAUCUAUUAAACUGAUCAUUGAAGGUACUUGAUAUUCGUUUAAUUCAUGAAAUAUCUAAUAAAAGUAUACUAAUGUAUUUAUUUGUAAAUUAUUUUCAUCUUAAACACAUACUAUAUCAAUAAUUUUCAAAGAAAAAAAUGUAGUAAACGUGACGGUAUACGGUUUUAAGUGUACUUGCAUAAGAUAUUUUUGACUGUUCUUCCCCAACUGAACGAUUAAUCGCAAUUCGGGUUUCUAUUCGUAGGAACUAAUACCGUACUUGACCUAAAACUUUUGCAAAAAAUCUAUCUCACCCUUAGAAAGAGAGAGAGAGAGAGAGAAUGAGAGGUUCUAGGUUUCUUUCAGUUUGCGUGCAGUGCGACAACCUUUUAAACAUGAUCGAUAAAUUCUCUCUCUCUCUCUCUCUCUCUCUCUCUCUCCCUAUUGUCUCUUGUAAUAUACAUAUGUAUUGUAUGUAUUCUAUAACCUUUCGCAUAUACAGUAUGUAUUUACGUCCCUUCUUAAUAACGAUCAUUCUAUGUUUAUUUAUCGAGUCGACGAGUCGACGUACUCGUCAAACAACGAGGAGGAGGAGAUACCAAAAUCGCGCUACUGUUUUUCUCCUUUGGAUCGAUCGACCUGGGUGGAGGAGUCUUAAAAAAAACUGUGUCACACACUGUGUCACAGAAACCAUAGGGCAAAAAAAGAAAAACAAAAAGAAAAAGAAUAAGAAGAAGAAGAAAGGACAGUAAUCGUCGAAUGACGAUACUUAACUUUUCACGAGGAGGAUUGGUAAUGAGAUCAGAAAAUUGGACGUGGCACAUAUGAGAGUCGGCUGUAGUCUUGAUAUGGCUUUCUUCGGCAUUUCAUUUCGAGUAAGAAAGAAAUAAAAGAUUAAGAGUGAGGUUAAAGUGUCGGUGGGGGUCGAAGGAAACGUUCAAAUUACGUAAGUGAUUAAAAAUGUAGAGGGGAAAGUAAAGAAGAAGAAGAAGAAGAAGACAAGAGAGUAGGAGGAUGAUGGGGUCUUCUUUGGUUCUUCGUAUUUUACGCAUAGUCGUAAGCUCUGCAGCAGAAUCACCAGAUAUAUAUAUACCGUACGUACAUACAGACUGUGUCAUAAAUAGUUUCGUUCUAUUUGAUGACGUUCAUCUUGCUAAAGCUCUCCCUAAGCGCUGGAUAGAGCUUUCGCUAGGUGUCGAUGGCAGAAGGGAUGAGAUCCAAUCGAUAGGGUCCCCGUUCGCUGCAUUAUCGACGCAAAAAAAAAGCGUGCGACCGAAGACAAAAGAGUGGCCCGAGUAAAAAUUAAUUAAUAAAACAUCAUGCGAUGUUCUGUAUUUAAUUAAAACGAACAAUUUUCAUUUUAAUUCAUUAUCGAAGUCUUUUAGAUAUCUUCCGACGUUAUUUCCAUUGAUAAUUAAUUACCCUAAUAUGUUGAGGUAUUUAAAUAAUAUGGAUAUAUGGAUGUAUAUAGGAAAAAUGUUUCUAUUUAAUUAUUUAAUUAAACCUAUGUUUUGAAAUAGAAAGAAAAAUAUAUUAAUUAUCGGCGUAAAUAAAUUGUUAAGAUAUACGGUAGUGCACUCUAUAUUGGAAAUACGCACCUUCCGUACUAAACUAUCGUAUUGGAGACCUUGGCCUAUAUUCUCUCCUAGUGGCUUACUUUUAGUAUUAAAGUGCGCAGAAUGUACACACAUAGAAGAACCGAUUUAUAGACGACGUGUAAGUAUUGUCUGUCUCCUCCUCUUCUGGCAUCUUAUUUUAUGUGUGUUGCGCGUAUUCGCAUCUAAAGAUUUCAUUUGAUAGAAUAAAAAAAUGCACAUGUGUGUAUAAUUUGGUUUUUAUCUAAAAUAUCUAAACAUUGUUUCAUCCACUGUUAACAUUUUAUUCAUCGUAUAUACAUGUAUGUAUGUAUAUAUAUAUAUGUAUAUAUAUAUAUGUAUAUAUAUAGAUAUAUUUUUGAUGAUUAGUUCAUGUACCUUGCGGUAGUACUCUGUCUGGCUGCCUGCUGCACCCUGGGUUUGACGCAUCAUUGAAUAAAUUGAGCAUAGAUAUCCUAUUUGGGA
rnacentral:lncRNA from 1 species